AACGAACGCUGGCGGCAGGCCUAACACAUGCAAGUCGAGCGCCCCGCAAGGGGAGCGGCGGACGGGUGAGUAACGCGUGGGAAUAUGCCCUUUGCUACGGAAUAGUCUCGGGAAACUGGGGGUAAUACCGUAUACGCCCUUUGGGGGAAAGAUUUAUCGGCGAAGGAUUAGCCCGCGUUGGAUUAGGUAGUUGGUGGGGUAAUGGCCUACCAAGCCGACGAUCCAUAGCUGGUUUGAGAGGAUGAUCAGCCACACUGGGACUGAGACACGGCCCAGACUCCUACGGGAGGCAGCAGUGGGGAAUCUUAGACAAUGGGGGCAACCCUGAUCUAGCCAUGCCGCGUGAGUGAUGAAGGCCUUAGGGUUGUAAAGCUCUUUCAGCUGGGAAGAUAAUGGCGGUACCAGCAGAAGAAGCCCCGGCUAACUCCGUG
rnacentral:rRNA from 1 species